rnacentral:rRNA from 1 species
GGGAAUCUACCCAUUUCUGCGGAAUAGCUCUGGGAAACUGGAAUUAAUACCGCAUACGCCCUACGGGGGAAAGAUUUAUCGGGGAUGGAUGAGCCCGCGUUGGAUUAGCUAGUUGGUGGGGUAAAGGCCUACCAAGGCGACGAUCCAUAGCUGGUCUGAGAGGAUGAUCAGCCACAUUGGGACUGAGACACGGCCCAAACUCCUACGGGAGGCAGCAGUGGGGAAUAUUGGACAAUGGGCGCAAGCCUGAUCCAGCCAUGCCGCGUGAGUGAUGAAGGCCUUAGGGUUGUAAAGCUCUUUCACCGGUGAAGAUAAUGACGGUAACCGGAGAAGAAGCCCCGGCUAACUUCGUGCCAGCAGCCGCGGUAAUACGAAGGGGGCUAGCGUUGUUCGGAAUUACUGGGCGUAAAGCGCACGUAGGCGGAUAUUUAAGUCAGGGGUGAAAUCCCAGAGCUCAACUCUGGAACUGCCUUUGAUACUGGGUAUCUUGAGUAUGGAAGAGGUAAGUGGAAUUGUGAGU